CACCAGGUUGAUUCUGCCUGACGUAGAUGCUAGUCUCUAAGAUUAAGCCAUGCAUGUCUAUGUAACAAGGACGAACAGCUCAGUACAACUGCGAUGAUUUAGUCUGUCUGUGUGCGAUAACUACGUGAAAAUGUAGCUAAGAGGGGACAGAAUAAGACGCAGGACUAUCAGUUAGUUGGUAGUGUAAUGGACUACCAAGACCAUGACGGUUGACGGGGAAUCAGGGUUCUGUACCGGAGAGGGAACCUGAGAGAUUGCUCCCACGUCCAAGGACGGCAGCAGGCGCGAAAAUUGCCCACUGUUGUAGGAGGCAGUUAUGAGACGUGAAGAUGAGUGCUUGGCAAAGAGAAGCAGGAGAAUUGGAGGGCAAGUUUGGUGCC
rnacentral:rRNA from 1 species